rnacentral:rRNA from 1 species
UACGAGGGGGGCGAGCGUUGUUCGGAAUUAUUGGGCGUAAAGGGUGCGUAGGCGGUUUGGUAAGUCUUGUGUGAAAUCUACAGGCUCAACUUGUAGUCUGCACGAGAAACUGCCGGGCUUGAGUGUGGGAGGGGUGAGUGGAAUUCCUGGUGUAGCGGUGAAAUGCGUAGAUAUCAGGAGGAACACCUGUGGCGAAAGCGGCUCACUGGACCAUAACUGACGCUGAUGCACGAAAGCUAGGGGAGCAAACAGG